rnacentral:rRNA from 1 species
UGCGUAGGCGGUUUUCUAAGUUUGGUGUGAAAUCUCCCGGCUUAACUGGGAGGGUGCGCCGAAGACUGGAAGGCUUGAGUAUGGGAGAGGUAAGCGGAAUUCCUGGUGUAGCGGUGAAAUGCGUAGAUAUCAGGAGGAACACCUGCGGUGUAGACGGCUUACUGGACCAUAACUGACGCUGAGGCACGAAAGCGUGGGUAAGCAAACA